AUGCUAAUUGCCUGAGUUUGCAAAGGGGCCAGAAAUCCUAAAAGGUGCCUCAGCCAAAAACCAGGAUCUGACUGAAAAGGAAUUUCUCUCUUCCUGUUUCUGGUUGCACUCCCAGAAGAGGGUUAACAGCUGGUGAUGGGAACCCUCGACUCCGGGCUUCAGUGUCCAGCCACACUGGUGCUUCUUCAACGCCGUUUUCCAGGAUCCUGAGUGGAUCCCUAGGGCCUCAGACCUGCUAUCCGAAUGUUGCUGCUUGAUUCAUAAGGCCCCUGAGAGGGCAGAUAUGGCUGGUCCUCUCCUGUGUCCUCAGCCGCCAGGAGCUCACUCCAGUCCUCCCUCUGUAUCUCUUUUAAAGGUCCUUCCCUCUGGGUUCCAUGCAUCCUCAGAGGCUGCCAUCACCAGGCCAGGCCAGUGAAGGUGACAGGGACGGCCACACCAGAGCUCCUGUGACAGACACCUGUGUGAAUCGGCCCUGUGACGCAGCCCUCCUGGGGGUCCUGCUGCCUAGGUGACUGGCUCUGCAUCUAUAGGACUAAGAAAGAGACUCUGGCUGAAGCUGACCAGAGCCCUGUGAGCAGAGCAUUUCCUGGAGUCUGAAUGGCUAAGGGUCUCGUUUCCCACAUGCAUCCAUACAGUCCUGAAGACCAGCUCCUGUGUGCCCCGGUGCUUGUGCACAGUCUCCAGAACGCUAUGUCCACCCAGCGCCUCCUCUCCACUCUGAAAGCGCCUCUCAGAGUGCAGCCACGUGAGAAGGACAGUCUCCCACGGAAAACCUCGAAGCCUCUCUAAUCGACUAAAACAAAAGAGUGAACCAGGGGAAAGGCAGAUACUGCAGGUUUAAGUUAAACAACUCAAGACUGAAACCACACGGGCCACCUGCCGAGCCUCCUGCUCCUCUGGGCCACUCCUGGGGUACCCUCCCACACCCCAGACUCCUCUACAGCAGCUCGUAUGACAAAGCUACAGGCACCAGUUUGCCGAGAUCUGUGGCAAGCACGGGAUUUUCCCUGUCAACUUAGCCGAUGCUGAUGAGCUGCAGUUAUGAAAUUUGGAGGCAAAGUCCAGACAGCCCUUGAUGCAUACAUUUGUUUCUGGAAAAGUCAACUUCAAAGCCCAAAGUCCAUCUAUGGAAUCCCGAUUCCCCAUUAACACCCACAAUAAAACAGUAAAUACAUUCCAGGGAGAAAGCAGUGAGGGGAGUCAUUUCUCAACUGAGUCCUCAAAGC
rnacentral:lncRNA from 1 species